CAAGAAUGAGGGGAGUCAUAGACAACUAUUACAAAAGACUGCACGCUGUCAUAGAUGCUAAAAGGGGCAAUACACAGUAUAAGAACUAUGGGUAUGCAGACUUUUGAACAGGGGUCAUUUCCUUUUUUUUUCUUUGUUGCCAUGGUUUGUUUUAUAAUUGUACCAUUCUAUUAUAACCUACAGUUGAAUAUGACUCCCAUAAGAAAUAAAAGAAAUGUGUUUUGC